rnacentral:lncRNA from 1 species
UGGUCUUGUGUGAAGUAUGAUUUGCUUCAUGUGACCUGCUCUUCUGAAUUUGUCUGCAGGAGAUCGGAAAGAUAACGAUGAAGAACAGAAAUGCAGAGACAGGAAAAAUAAACUUCUUAUGAGUCAAGUGGGCUACUACCUGGGCUGCCGGCUGAAGACGGAAGAAGAUCAGAAAGAUAACGAUGAAGAAAAGAAAUGCAGAGACAGCAAAAAUAGACUUCUUAGGAGUCAGGUGGACUACUCCCUGAACUACCAGCUGAAAACGUGCAGUAAGUUGUAUAGGUUGGCUACCAUGAAAGUGAUGAAUGAUGUCCUGCCUUGUCUCGAGAAACUAACCGUUCUCUUGAUCAAAAUUAAUUUCAUCCUUCACAUACUUGUAGAAAAUAGCAAUGGGUAUUUUAACAUUUAGUUAAAAUGGAAGAGAGACGCCAAAAUAUUUAGCAACAUUUCCACAUCUGCAGUAAGGUGGGUGUGGGACUGGGGUUACAAUCACAGCUAUUGAUUCCUGACCCAGGCACAGAACCACCUGUUUUUCUCAGCAAGAAUCUAAAUCAUGUUUAUAAGAAUCCUCUCUGUACCCCCUAAGAUCGUGCAGACAAGUAGCAUCUAGUCUGUUGUUCUAAAUGUCUGAGGCUGCUCAGCUUCCGUUCGGUUCUGGUUUCUGCUGAGGCUCAGUAGGGAAAGCUCUGUUCUGGGGAAAUGCGAUGCUAGCACACUAUACCCGCUGUGGGGAGCUUAAAGAGGACUUUACUCCUUACAUAACCGGUGGUAUCUGUAAGUGGCUCCAUCAAGAGCAGGGAUUACUCUGGUUAGAGGGACGUCCUGCUUUCUGUGCAGAGGCUCUCGUUGGUAAAGGACCAUGGCACCCACGACUUGGUGGAGGCAGCAGUGCAUAGAGGAGGGA